ensembl:lncRNA
CAACUCUCUCAGAGCCUCAGGGGGAGGUCCUGGCUGGGGGUGGGGCUGAAAGGCUGUGCAGCCAGAGACCAGUUGGAGAAGCAUCACCUGGCACAUGUGUUGACGGAAUGAAUGACAUUGUAACACCCUGGACACCUCUCAGAUCCUCCUGUGUGGAGAGCUUCCUGUGAGCUGGGCCCAUCGGGUGCACUGAAUUUUCCAAAAAUGGCCAGAGUAAUAUUUCUAGUCCCAGCUGCUCUUCUAGAACUUUGACACUCUCUCAUCAAGAAGUAGAGUCUAUUUCUCCUCCCUUUGAAAUUGGACAGAACUUUGUAGCCACCUCAACAAAGGAAAUGUCACAGAUGUAUUGCUGCAUGACUAGCAAAGGUAGGUCAUAAAAGGCAAUAUGGCUUUCACCUGGCCCUCUCACAUGGAUCUAGCCACCAUACUGUGAGGAAGCCAAAGCUAUGUGGAGAAGCUACAUACAGAUAUUCUGGCCAAGAGUCUCAGCUAAGCUCCCAGCCAACAGCCAGUACUGGCUGCCAGAGGUCUUCCUCCCUUCACCUUCCCCAAACUCUCCAAGAACUGAAGAUGUGUACUCAGUGCAUCAGGAUCUGCUCUGAGCCAGGUGGAGACAGAACUGAGCAGUUUUACCAAUCCGCUGCCACAAGAGUUGCUGUUGAAAACUGGUCCUGCGCAGUUUGACACUUCCAUAUCCACAGCUCAGUGCUGCCCUUGAUGGACACACACGACAGGGCCCCACGCUUGGGCUCAUGGCUACCUCUCUUUUAUUUCACACUCUUAUGUGUAACCAUUGUUCCCACAGCAUGACCUCUGCCAGCUUCUGGGUCAAGAAUUUAAUCCCUGCUAUUAGCUAUCCCUAUUCAGACUCACCAUUUCCUGAUAGUGAGUUUCCCCUCUGCAGUCCUUUCUAUCCUUUCCUGCCAAAGGAUCUCAGAGAGGCCCAACUCAGUUCACCAGAAAGACUCUAGUCAUCUUAACCCCCAAAAUGGAAAGGUCAGUCAGGGUCUUGACCUCACUCCUCCCAGGAGGCUGUCUGGCCCAAAUGCAAAUUUCCCCAACUCUGUGACCAGCUCUGCCACCAAAAUCUUCUUAGAACCACAACGUUCCUUGUUGCACCCCUUUUCCAAAGCAGUAUGUUUGCCUACUUACUCACAGUUGCAUAACUAAGAGAAGAAGCAUUAUUUAUUUCCCAGAAAAUCUAGUUUUGCCUUACUAGGCACUCCAUUACACAGUUUAACAUGACUGAUAUAUCAAUGUCACACCCAGAUACUUUCUUAAUGACAUAGGUGCCUCAAAAGGGUUGGAGAAUGAGACUUUAAAAGAUGAAGGAUUGGAGAAGGGGGCAGAGCUAAUGGCAUUUGGGUACCUCACUCAUGCCCUCUCGCUGGUGAGGCCCAGGAAUGUCUGGAUUGCUCUGGGUACCAUGGGCAUCUCAGCAGUCAGGCAGGCACAAUCCAUAGUUCCCCUCUGUAUUAGUUAGAAAUGUAUUCAGCUGCAGGUAACAGAAUACCAGCCAACAGUGGACUAAACAAAAAGGGACUUAUUCUUUUCACCUGACAGAAACCAGAGGUAGAAUGGCAACUGGCAUUGGUUUACCAGGUCGUGGGUGGAGUCAUUACAAUUCUCUUGGUCUUUCUGCCAUAGAGGCUGAGGGCUGCUGCAGCUUCAGCCUGCAAGUCUGCAUUCAAGGCAAAAAGGAGAAAGGCAAGAAGGGGCAGCACCAUCAGCACCCAAUGCCUUUUAUCAGGAAAAGAAAAGCUUUCCUAGAGCCCCCAGAAGGUUUCAGCCUAUGCCCCAUUUGUCUUUCUUAGCUGCAAAGGAGCCUGGGAAGGUGAGCCUCUUGUCUGGGGCUAAGACGUUAUCACCACGAACAAAAUUGGUAUGUUGAAGCAACGAGGAAGAGGAAGAUGCCAUACCCUUCCCCCUACAAUCCCCAGGUGGCACAGGACCCCCAGGGCCCCUUCCCAACAACCCCAGGAACCAUCCCAGAGGAGCCCCUGCAUCCCUGUGGCCUCUUGGUGUCCCAGAGAAGAAAGACCCACCCAAGGAGCCAGGAUUCCCUUGAGCAGAAGGCCCAGCUGACUUCAGCUUCCUCCUGCAGUGAUUAAUGGUGCUCUGCCAAGCUGAGAGGAGGCAGCUAAUUAGCUGUGGACUGAUUAAGGACAAGGCAGACAAAGUCCCAAACAUGAUAAACAUGAACUUUCCAACUUCCUCCCUCCCUCCAUGUCCUGCCACCACCAGCAGAAGCCAGGCCUAUGGCACCCCUCACAGUGUACCUGCCUGUGCGGCUGGCAGACUCAUCCAGGCCACUGUUCAUUCUGCCUGGCACUAACCAGGGCAUCGUGGCAGAAAUUGGGAUGCUGAAUAUUCUUUCAGAGCUUGACUUCUCUUCCAGCCUUUUCCCAAUCUUCUUGCUCUCAACCAGGCGUGGUACCAGGCCUGGGAUUUCUCAGUCUCUGCCCUAAAGAUAUCCACAGCUGAUGGCUGUAGAACUCCAGAAAGGGUUGAGUUCAGUAUGACUUGGAGUUGCUGGCCAGGGCUCUAUGGAGGGGCUUUGGAUGGGUUUUGUGAAUGGGGCGGUGGUCCUGGAGAGAGGGAAGGACCCAUGCAUAGGAGUGAAGGAGAAAUGAGCAGAGCACAGGCCUGGGACAGUGAGGAAUCUGGAGGCAGGCCUGGAUGGGGCAAAGGUGGGGGCAGGACAGAGAUAAAGACAAACAGGAGACGGGAGCUGAGAAGUUGUGCAGCCCUGCUGUCUCCAGCCUCGCGUCCUCCGCAACACGUGGCAUCCACAUGCAUGAUGCCCUGUGAGCAACCCAGGGUGAUCUCCACCUCCACCUCCAGCUGUGACACCUCACCGACCAGAAAGCACCUGCCAGGUGCAGACAAUUUCAUCCUGCAGUGGCCCGGGCUGAGGUUUAGUGGAAAAGCUCUCUGACACACGAAUCUUUUGCAAGGUAAGGCCAAGGAUACAUUUUGGCACCAGAAAUUCAGUGAGCAUGAUUCUCAGACCUCUCUGUUUCCACCCAGGAGACAUGCUCAGGAGGUGGCAAAGUGAAUGCCUGUCCAGGGGAGGGCUUGGGAAGCACCUCCCCAACGCCUCAUGGCCUGGCUCACUCUUACUCAUUCCCUGAGUCUCAGCUCAAGUGUCACUUCUUUGGGGAAGCUUUCCUUGACCCUUCAGAUCAGACUCUGUACUUCCCUUCAUCAAGUGUUAUCAGUUUACAUUAAUGCGUUUGGGUGACUGGUUGUCUUAUACUACUAUAGAUUCAAACAGCAAAUACUAAUUGAGCCACGAAUUGUGCCAAGUCCUGGGGAUACCAUGAGACAUGGACCUGCCCUCAUGGAGCUUAUGGUCCAGACAUAAGUCCCAGCUCAUACCUAACUGAGGAUCUACCCUAACUCCAGAAGUUAGAUUCCUCCCAGUCUCAGCAGAACAGUGAGACAACUCAAGUUCAGUCAACUCAUGGCCUCAGGCCACCCCUAGAAGGGCCUUCGUGUGUGGUUGCUUAGGUUGUACUGUAGUGGAUGUUGGUGUGUGCUGCCCAUAUUCCUCCUUCAGAGUCAAGGCACUCAUUCCUCCAGCUCCUGGGAGUCUUGGCUAUUAACAGCUGGCAGCUGAGUCCCUCUCCAGGAAUCGUCUUCAGCCAAACAGAGACCCAUCAUUCCCUAGAGAGAUAUCUGAUCUAAUGUCUUGUCAUUUGAAAUGACAAAGGCCCACCCUACUCCUUGCCUCAAUCCAGGACAUUUUUGAAAGAUCAUCCUAGCUUCAGAGCUUCCCAUGGGUUGUUGUUCAACUUCUCCCUCUGCCCAAUCUUGCUUCCCGCAUUCCCUUGCAGAGGUGGUUCCUGAGAGCACUUCCCAAUAAGACUCCUGCAUACAAAUCUCAAGUCUCAGAGUCUAUUCCUUGGGGAACGUGAGCAAGGAACACAUGGGGGCUGAAAUCCACCCUGGUGGGGACUGCGUCUCUCUGAAAGAAAAGGACUGCUUUUUCUAAUCUGCAUGAAGAUGCCCCUUUAUGACUUAGCAGUAGCCUGGCCCUGCGCCCACCUGCCCAGACUGAGAGCUGAACCAGGAAUGCAAGCAAGUGCCAGAAGGGCCUUGGCACAGGCAUGGGGAAGGAAUGGAGCCUCACAGCCAAGUGAUUUAGGAGACUCCAGAGGAGAGUAUAUCUGUGGGAAGAAGCCCACCAGCCCCUGGAGUCUGAUUCCAGCUGAUUAAGAGGCACCCAGGGCCAGUAUAUCAGCAAGACAACUGGGAAAUAAACCAAAGGAAAUUGUUAAUCCAGGAUUUCCGACAAUGUGGAAGGUGUCAGACCAGCCCCAAACAUCCUAACUCAGGCCUAGUGUGUGGGAACUCACCCGGGGGGUGCAGGAGAAGCAGGAAGGAAUUAGACUUGC